GGCCAAUGUGGUAUAGUGAUUUGAACCUCGGACUAUGACUCUGGAGGCAUGGGUUCAAAUCUCCAUCAGCCA